AUAACGCAUUGUAUGUAAGUGGUUCAUUUUAUCCCUUCCGUUCUAUUCUUAUAUGUAAUAUACAUAUUUUAUAUAUAUAUAUAACGUAUGUAUGUGGAGUUCUUAGUACAUAAUAAUGAAAAGCAAAGAUAAAAAAAAAAAAUGAUCAAGAGUUUAAUUUUUCGCAUAUUAGAAAAAAAAGAAAAUGUAAUAUGUUUUAAAAAGCCGAUUGUUUUGUUUUAUAGUAGUCAAGCUAUAUUAAAUGCAAGAAAAAAGAAAAGAAAAGAAAACGCAGGUUCCAAAAGAGAGUUUAAAAUUAGGAAUAAGGAAAAUAAUAUAAGCAGUGUAAAUAUAAGUUCUACAACAAAUGUGAAUAAUACCAAAGAUGUUGAUACAAAAUUUAGUAACAUAAGUGAAGAAAGUGAUUAUAAUAGAAACCGAAGUGGGAGCUUAAUGAAUGAAAUUUUUGAAAAAAAAAAAAAAAUAAUAAUAGAUCAUACCAAAUUAAAAGAAGAAAUAGUAAAAAAAAGUUUUUUAGAAUACAAUUUUAAAAUAGAUAUAUAUUUAAAAUUAACUGCUUUGAAACUGUUUAAUCCAACGCAAAUCCAAAAAAAUGUAAUACCGCUACUGUUACAGAAGGGUAAUGAAAAUGCCGCUCAACAAUAUAACACGCAACAAACGUAUGAAAAUAAAAAUAUAUACAAUGAAAUAUUAAAAAAUCGAAUGCAUAUUAAUAUGUAUCUAAAAAAGAAUUUAAACGCUACAAGUAAUUUUUAUGAAGUUGAUAAAUAUAUACGGGAAAAAAAUUAUGAGGAUAUUAGUAGGUCAAAAGAAAGUGGCACUAUCGGUUUUAAUAGUAUGAACCAUACUAGUCCAAAUACACAUAACACAAUUAAACAAUGUUUUAAUGAUGUAUACGUCAUAAUAAGUCCUUAUAACACAGGAAAGACGCUUAGCUACUUUCUUCCAGUACUUCAUAAUUUCUACUCAAAUAGUGAAUAUGUAAUAAAAAAUUUAUGCAAUUUUUAUAACUUUUUAAAUAAAUAUAAUUAUAAAAAAAAUGCUAAUAAAUUAUUUCGUAAAAAAGAAAAGAUGAAAUAUGCAGAACGUAAAGAGAAUAUGUUUUUUAGUGUAUCUUAUGUAAAGUAUAAAAUACGUAAUAGAUAUAUACAUAUGAAAAAAUAUAAUAAUUAUAAUAUGAAUAGUAGUUUUAUUAAAAAUAAAAGAAACAACAAAUUGAACUGCUUAAAACAUAAAAAAAAUAUAUUUUUUCCAUAUGCAAUUAUUGUAACAAAUACAAGAGAAGCAGCAUGUGAGUUAUUUAAUUUUUUAAAACAUUUUGAUGUAAAUCUUGAGUUAUUGGCUGGUGGAUAUUUGAAUAAAAAAAAGUCAAUUAAAAAAUAUCACAUGAGUAAUUUUGAUGGAAAUGAAUCAAAUUGGAAAGACAAACACAAUGAUGAAAUCAUGAAGAACAGUAACAACUACAACUUUUGUAAUAAAAAAAAUAAUAAUUCAAAAGAUAAUUAUUUUUUUUCAAGCACUGACAAUUUUUUGAAAAUGAUAAAAAAAAAUAAUAAAAAAAAUACAAUACGUUUAAUAAAUUAUAAUGUUGAUAUUAUAAUAGGGACUCCAGAUAAAAUUUUUGAAAAAAUAGAUAAUUAUAAAAAUAAACAUUUAUAUAAUUUAAAAUUUUUAAAAUAUUUUAUAGUGGAAGAAGCUGAAACUUUAUGUAACGUCUUCAAUGAAAAGAAGUUACAAUUACUUUUUAAUCAUAUCAAAAAUUACACAAAUAUGUAUUAUUUUCGAGCAAGUACAUUGUACAAUGAUUAUGUCGACGUUGAUACUGAUGAGAAAACGAAAAAAAUGGAUUACGAUUUGGAGUCUGAAGAAGUAAAACGUAGCAGUAAAAAAAGGACGAGGUCAAAUUUUAGUAUGAGUACUAAUGUUUAUGAAGAGGUUAACAAAUGUAACAAUGGAAAUGAUGAAGGAGUCGAGUUAAGUGAAAUGGAAAAAGGCGGAACUAGCAACAGUGAUGUUGCCAGCUUUACAGGCGAUGUGCCUUCUAAUGACAAUUACAAAAGUGAUGACAAAAAAGGAGAUAACAAUAGAGAUAAUAAAAAAGGAGAUAACAAUAGCGAUGACAAAAAAGGAGAUAACAAUAGCGAUGACAAAAAAGGAGAGAACAAUAGCGAUGACAAAAAAGGAGAGAACAAAAAAGGCGAUAGCAAAAACAAAGUUAGCAGCGCCUUUUAUGACAUACGCAACAAAUACGCUAACACAGAAUUAGAAAAAAUAAAAAAAGACCAAGCGAUUAAAAAUGUAAAAAAUACAAUAAAAUCAAACAUCCCAAUUACCAUAUUCGUGUCAGCAACAAAAACAGUAUGUAUAAGUGAGUUUUUAAAUAAUAAUAUAAAAAGUAAAUAUAUACAACAUAUAAUUAACAUAGAUAGUCAUAACAUUAGAGAUGAUAUAAAACACAUUUUUAUUAAUAGUAAGAAUAAAGAUAAAAUUUCUAUGUUACUUGAACUUCUGAAUGAUAAGAGUCUACAUAAUGUAAAAGGAGAUAGUAGUGAUUAUAAUAAUAAUAAUAAUAAUAACAAUAAUAACAACAAUAAUAAUAACAACAAUAAUAAUAACAAUAAUAAUAAUGGUGGUGGUAUAAAACAAUAUGUGAAUAAUUUUUCAAAUCAGUAUGUAAUUUUUUGUAAUACUAGAAAAAAUGUAAUAAAUUUAAAUGAAAUAUUAUCCGAGUUAAAAUAUAAAGUUAGUUGUAUUCACAAUGAAAUGGAUUAUAAAAGUCGUAGUUCAAAUUAUCGUGAUUUUAAAAAAAAGAAAACAAAUAUUUUGAUUUGUACUAAUAUAAUUAGUAGAGGUGUACAUUUUGACAACUGCAAAAUAAUAAACUUUGAUAUUAGUAAUAAUAUAAAUGAUUAUAUCUACAAAAUGAAUAACGUAUCAUUGAACGGAUACAGUCGUAGUGUUAAUAGUGGUGAUAAUAACAAUAAUACAUUAACUUCUUUUUUUAAUAAAAAAACUACUCCAAUAGUUAAUGACAUAAUAGAUAAGACUGUUAAUAAAAAACAAAUUAUUUUUCAAAAUUUGAAUAAAAAAGUUAGCAAAAUGCUUAAAUUACAAUACAAAUAUUAUGAUAUUGUAAAAAAAAAAAAAAAAUAUGAAAAAAGAGGAGGGAGAAAAGCAUUACGUAUGUCACCAAGAAGAAAUUGUUUAAGUAAAAAAAAUAAAAUUUUGUCGAAAAAAUUAUAUUUUUAUCAUAAAAUGGAUAUAGAGCGCAAAAGAUUAGUCAAAAAGGGAAUAUUAAAACCAUUUCAAAAAAUACCUAGAUUCCCAAAUAAAAAA
ensembl:lncRNA